UACGGAGGGGGCGAGCGUUAUUCGGAAUUAUUGGGCGUAAAGGGCGCGUAGGCGGCUGAACAAGUCAAAGGUGAAAUCCCUCGGCUCAACUGAGGAACUGCCUUUGAAACUGUUCGGCUUGAGGCCGGGAGGGGGUAGCGGAAUUCCCAGUGUAGCGGUGAAAUGCGUAGAUAUUGGGAGGAACACCAGUGGCGAAGGCGGCUACCUGGACCGGUUCUGACGCUGAGGCGCGAAAGCGUGGGGAGCAAACAGG
rnacentral:rRNA from 1 species